UGCCCAAUGCGGGAAUCGAACCCGGGUCCUAGUGGUCGAAAACCAAACGGUUUACCCAGCCUUCCAUCUAAAAAGC